rnacentral:rRNA from 1 species
UACGUAGGUGGCGAGCGUUGUCCGGAUUUACUGGGCGUAAAGGGAGCGUAGGCGGACUUUUAAGUGAGAUGUGAAAUACCCGGGCUCAACUUGGGUGCUGCAUUUCAAACUGGAAGUCUAGAGUGCAGGAGAGGAGAAUGGAAUUCCUAGUGUAGCGGUGAAAUGCGUAGAUAUUAGGAGGAACACCAGUGGCGAAGGCGGCUUUCUGGACAGUAACUGACGCUGAGGCGCGAAAGCGUGGGGAGCAAACAGGAUUAGAUACCCGCGUAGU